UCUCCGUUGGUGAACCAGCGGAGGGAUCAUUACAGAGUUGCAAAACUCCCACACCCUUUGUGAACGCACUGAAACUACUGCUUCGGCGGGCAGCCCUUCAGGGGGUAGCCCGCCGGAGAAGCACUAAACUCUUGUAUUUUUGGCUUCUCUGAGUCUUCUGUACUGAAUAAGUCAAAACUUUCAACAACGGAUCUCUUGGUUCUG
rnacentral:misc_RNA from 1 species